UUGGAAACGAAUGCUAAUACCCCAUAUGCUUUCGAGUGAAAUGAAUUUUUUAUUUGCCUAAAGAGAAGCUCGCGGCUGAUUAGCUUGUUGGUAAGGUAAGAGCUUACCAAGGCGACGAUCAGUAUCUGGUUUGAGAGGACGAUCAGACACACUGGAACUGAGACACGGUCCAGACUCCUACGGGAGGCAGCAGUGGGGAAUUUUCCGCAAUGGGCGAAAGCCUGACGGAGCAAUACCGCGUGAGGGAAGAAUGCCUAUGGGUUGUAAACCUCUUUUUUCAGGGAGGAAUAAAUGACGUGUACCUGAAGAAUAAGCAUCGGCUAACUCCGUGCCAGCAGCCGCGGUAAGACGGAGGAUGCAAGUGUUAUCCGGAAUCACUGGGCGUAAAGCGUCUGUAGGUGGUUUAAUAAGUCAACUGUUAAAUCUUGAGGCUCAACUUCAAAAUCGCAGCUGAAACUAUUAGACUAGAGUAUAGUAGAGGUAAAGGGAAUUUCCAGUGGAGCGGUGAAAUGCGUAGAUAUUGGAAAGAACACCGAUGGCGAAAGCACUUUACUGGGCUAUUACUAACACUCAGAGACGAAAGCUAGGGUAGCAAAUGGGAUUAGAUACCCCAGUAGUC
rnacentral:rRNA from 1 species